rnacentral:misc_RNA from 1 species
GAUGAAGAACGCAGCGAAAUGCGAUACGUAAUGUGAAUUGCAGAAUUCAGUGAAUCAUCGAAUCUGUGAACGCACAUUGCGCCCCUUGGUAUUCCAUGGGGCAUGCCUGUUCGAGCGUCAUUUGUACCUUCAAGCUCUGCUUGGUGUUGGGUGUUUGUCUCGCCUCUGCGUGUAGACUCGCCUCAAAACAAUUGGCAGCCGGCGUAUUGAUUUCGGAGCGCAGUACAUCUCGCGCUUUGCACUCAUAACGACGACGUCCAAAAGUACAUUUUUACACUCUUGACCUCGGAUCAGGUAGGGAUACCCGCUGAACUUAAGCAUAUCAAUAAGCGGAGGA